GGGUUGUGAGGUUAAGCGACUAAGCGUACACGGUGGAUGCCCGCAGUCAGAGGCGAUGAAGGACGUGCUAAUCUGCGAAAAGCGUCGGUAAGGUGAUAUGAACCGUUACAGCCGGCGAUGUCCGAAUGGGGAAACCCAGUGCAAUUCGUUGCACUAUCGUUAACUGAAUACAUAGGUUAACGAGGCGAACCGGGGGAACUGAAACAUCUAAGUACCCCGAGGAAAAGAAAUCAACCGAGAUUCCCCCAGUAGCGGCGAGCGAACGGGGAGCAGCCCAGAGUCUGAAUCAGCUUGUGUGUUAGUGGAACGGUCUGGAAAGUCCGACGGUACAGGGUGAUAGUCCCGUACACCAAAAUGCACAGGUUGUGAACUCGAAGAGUAGGGCGGGACACGUGGUAUCCUGUCUGAAUAUGGGGGGACCAUCCUCCAAGGCUAAAUACUCCUGACUGACCGAUAGUGAACCAGUACCGUGAGGGAAAGGCGAAAAGAACCCCGGCGAGGGGAGUGAAAAAGAACCUGAAACCGUGUACGUACAAGCAGUGGGAGCACCUUCGGGUGUGACUGCGUACCUUUGUAUAAUGGGUCAGCGACUUAUAUUCUGUAGCAAGGUUAACCGUAUAGGGGAGCCGCAGGGAAACCGAGUCUUAACUGGGCGUUAAGUUGCAGGGUAUAGACCCGAAACCCGGUGAUCUAGCCAUGGGCAGGUUGAAGGUUGGGUAACACUAACUGGAGGACCGAACCGACUAAUGUUGAAAAAUUAGCGGAUGACUUGUGGCUGGGGUGAAAGGCCAAUCAAACCGGGAGAUAGCUGGUUCUCCCGAAAGCUAUUUAGGUAGCGCCUCGUGAACUCAUCUUCGGGGUAGAGCACUGUUUCGGCUAGGGGUCAUCCCGACUUACCAACCCGAUGCAAACUACGAAUACCGAAGAAUGUUAUCACGGGAGACACACGGCGGGUGCUAACGUCCGUCGUGAAGAGGGAAACAACCCAGACCGCCAGCUAAGGUCCCAAAGUCAUGGUUAAGUGGGAAACGAUGUGGGAAGGCACAGACAGCCGUGAUGUUGGCUUAGAAGCAGCCAUCAUUUAAAGAAAGCGUAAUAGCUCACUGGUCGAGUCGGCCUGCGCGGAAGAUGUAACGGGGCUAAACCAUGCACCGAAGCUGCGGCAGCGACACUAUGUGUUGUUGGGUAGGGGAGCGUUCUGUAAGCCUGCGAAGGUGUGCUGUGAGGCAUGCUGGAGGUAUCAGAAGUGCGAAUGCUGACAUAAGUAACGAUAAAGCGGGUGAAAAGCCCGCUCGCCGGAAGACCAAGGGUUCCUGUCCAACGUUAAUCGGGGCAGGGUGAGUCGACCCCUAAGGCGAGGCCGAAAGGCGUAGUCGAUGGGAAACAGGUUAAUAUUCCUGUACUUGGUGUUACUGCGAAGGGGGGACGGAGAAGGCUAUGUUAGCCGGGCGACGGUUGUCCCGGUUUAAGCAUGUAGGCUGAUUGUCCAGGCAAAUCCGGAUAAUCAAGGCUGAGGUGUGAUGACGAGGCACUACGGUGCUGAAGUAACAAAUGCCCUGCUUCCAGGAAAAGCCUCUAAGCAUCAGGUAACAUUAAAUCGUACCCCAAACCGACACAGGUGGUCAGGUAGAGAAUACCAAGGCGCUUGAGAGAACUCGGGUGAAGGAACUAGGCAAAAUGGUGCCGUAACUUCGGGAGAAGGCACGCUGGUGUGUAGGUGAAGUCCCUGCGGAUGGAGCUGAGACCAGUCGAAGAUACCAGCUGGCUGCAACUGUUUAUUAAAAACACAGCACUGUGCAAACACGAAAGUGGACGUAUACGGUGUGACGCCUGCCCGGUGCCGGAAGGUUAAUUGAUGGGGUUAUCCGUAAGGAGAAGCUCUUGAUCGAAGCCCCGGUAAACGGCGGCCGUAACUAUAACGGUCCUAAGGUAGCGAAAUUCCUUGUCGGGUAAGUUCCGACCUGCACGAAUGGCGUAAUGAUGGCGCUGUCUCCACCCGAGACUCAGUGAAAUUGAACUCGCUGUGAAGAUGCAGUGUACCCGCGGCAAGACGGAAAGACCCCGUGAACCUUUACUAUAGCUUGACACUGAACAUUGAGCCUUGAUGUGUAGGAUAGGUGGGAGGCUUUGAAGCGUGGACGCCAGUCUGCGUGGAGCCAACCUUGAAAUACCACCCUUUAAUGUUUGAUGUUCUAACGUUGGCCCCUGACCGGGGUUGCGGACAGUGUCUGGUGGGUAGUUUGACUGGGGCGGUCUCCUCCCAAAGCGUAACGGAGGAGCACGAAGGUUAGCUAAUCCUGGUCGGACAUCAGGAGGUUAGUGCAAUGGCAUAAGCUAGCUUGACUGCGAGCGUGACGGCGCGAGCAGGUGCGAAAGCAGGUCAUAGUGAUCCGGUGGUUCUGAAUGGAAGGGCCAUCGCUCAACGGAUAAAAGGUACUCCGGGGAUAACAGGCUGAUACCGCCCAAGAGUUCAUAUCGACGGCGGUGUUUGGCACCUCGAUGUCGGCUCAUCACAUCCUGGGGCUGAAGUAGGUCCCAAGGGUAUGGCUGUUCGCCAUUUAAAGUGGUACGCGAGCUGGGUUUAGAACGUCGUGAGACAGUUCGGUCCCUAUCUGCCGUGGGCGCUGGAGAAUUGAGGGGGGCUGCUCCUAGUACGAGAGGACCGGAGUGGACGCAUCACUGGUGUUCGGGUUGUCAUGCCAAUGGCACUGCCCGGUAGCUAAAUGCGGAAGAGAUAAGUGCUGAAAGCAUCUAAGCACGAAACUUGCCCCGAGAUGAGUUCUCCCUGAGACUUUAAGUCUCCUGAAGGAACGUUGAAGACGACGACGUUGAUAGGCCGGGUGUGUAAGCGCAGCGAUGCGUUGAGCUAACCGGUACUAAUGAACCGUGAGGCUUAACCUUACAACGCCGAAG
rnacentral:rRNA from 1 species